rnacentral:misc_RNA from 1 species
GAUGAAGAACGCAGCGAAAUGCGAUAAGCAAUGUGAAUUGCAGAAUUCAGUGAAUCAUCGAAUCUUUGAACGCACAUUGCGCCCGCCAGUAUUCUGGCGGGCAUGCCUGUUCGAGCGUCAUUACAACCCUCAGGCCCCCGGGCCUGGCGUUGGGGAUCGGCGGAAGCCCCCUGUGGGCACACGCCGUCCCUCAAAUACAGUGGCGGUCCCGCCGCAGCUUCCAUUGCGUAGUAGCUAACACCUCGCAACUGGAGAGCGGCGCGGCCAUGCCGUAAAACACCCAACUUCUGAAUGUUGACCUCGAAUCAGGUAGGAAUACCCGCUGAACUUAAGCAUAUCAUAAGCGGAGGA